rnacentral:rRNA from 1 species
AAAUUUCGGGACUUAACUCCGAGUCUGCCUCUGAGACUACAAUUCUUGAGUGCGAAAGAGGAAAGCGGAAUUCCCGGUGUAGCGGUGAAAUGCGUAGAUAUCGGGAAGAACACCAGUAGCGAAGGCGGCUUUCUGGUUCGCAACUGACGCUGAGGCGCGAAAGCGUGGGUAGCAAACAGGAUUAGAUACCCUGGUAGUCCACGCUGUAAACGAUGGGCACUAGGUGUUGGUCUUUUGAUCAGUGCCGCAGCUAACGCAUUAAGUGCCCCGCCUGGGAAGUACGACCGCAAGGUUGAAACUCAAAGGAAUUGACGGGGGCCCGCACAAGCGGUGGAGCAUGUGGUUUAAUUCGAUGCAACGCGAAGAACCUUACCUGGGCUUGACAUACUGG